rnacentral:rRNA from 1 species
AACGAACGCUGGCGGCAUGCCUAACACAUGCAAGUCGAACGUGAUCCGGGGCUUGCUCCGGUGAAAGUGGCGGACGGGUGAGUAACGCGUGGGAACCUGCCCAGUGGUCGGGGAUAACUGCGGGAAACUGCAGCUAAUACCCGGUAAGCCCUAUGGGGGAAAGAUUUAUCGCCAUUGGAGGGGCCCGCGUCGGAUUAGGUAGUUGGUGGGGUAAAGGCCUACCAAGCCUUCGAUCCGUAGCUGGUCUGAGAGGAUGAUCAGCCACACUGGGACUGAGAUACGGCCCAGACUCCUACGGGAGGCUG